rnacentral:rRNA from 1 species
UACAGAGGGUGCGAGCGUUAAUCGGAAUUACUGGGCGUAAAGCGCACGUAGGUGGCGACGUAAGUCGGAUGUGAAAUCCCCUGGCUCAACUGGGGGGCGUCAUUCGAUACUGCUCGACUUGAAGGCAGGAGAGGGAAGCGGAAUUCCCGGUGUGUGGUGAAAUGCGUAGAUAUCGGGAGGAACACCAGUGGCGAAGGCGGCUUCCUGGCCUGUUCUUGACGCUGAGGCGCGAAAGCCAGGGGAGCAAACGGGAUUAGAAACCCGUGUAGU